UUCUCUUCCUCAUACGCAUUCAUUCGUUGUGAAGCUUCAACAAUGGCAGCUCAAGCUGUGUCAGUGCCUGCGACUGCAACCUUCUCUAUCGCUUCUCGCCGGAACACUCCGUCACACCUUGCGUUUUCUCACAGAAAUCUAUGCCAGAUAGCUUCUAACUUGUCAAGCCCCUAUGGUGGUCAUUCAUCGAAAUUUGGGUUAUCAAGUAAAAGCCCUGGCUUUCCUUUAAAGCUUGAUGAGAAAAAUACCUAUGAUGCUAGUACAAGUUACGGUGCAAUUGAAGCCAAGAAGGGGAACCCACCAAUAACACCAGCAGUGAUGACUCCUGGAGGACCUCUUGAUCUCUCGUCUGUUUUGUUCAGGAAUCGUAUAAUAUUCAUAGGACAGCCAGUUAACGCACAAGUGGCUCAGAGAGUUAUAUCGCAGCUUGUGACUCUGGCUACUAUUGAUCCAAAUGCAGACAUACUGAUGUAUAUCAAUUGCCCUGGUGGAAGCACAUAUUCAGUAUUGGCAAUUUAUGAUUGCAUGUCUUGGAUAAAGCCCAAGGUUGGUACAGUAUGUUUCGGAGUAGCGGCAAGCCAAGGAGCACUUCUCCUUGCUGGUGGGGAGAAGGGAAUGCGCUAUUCAAUGCCAAAUUCCCGCAUAAUGAUACAUCAACCCCAGAGUGGAUGUGGGGGUCAUGUUGAGGAUGUAAGACGCCAAGUGAAUGAAGCUGUGCAAUCUCGCCAUAAAAUUGACAAGAUGUAUAGUGCUUUCACCGGACAGCCAAUCGAGAAGGUGCAACAGUACACAGAGAGGGACCGUUUUCUUUCUGUUUCUGAGGCUUUGGAGUUUGGUCUUAUUGAUGGUGUACUGGAAACAGAGUAUUGAACCCAGCUCCUCAUGCAUAUGCAAUUAUUUUGAAGUUAACUUUCAUAGAAUGGUUGAUCUGGUUUCAAUUUACAACUAGGGAGUUAAAGGGACACACUACUACCAAUAGAAGCAAUAAUGACACUUGAACAUACAAACUGUGGCUCAUCUACUCUAGGAAUCUUCAUCUGCAUGUUAAUUGUGAUGUUGGUUUGGAAAAUAUUUUUAGUCCUCCAGCACCACUGCACCACUUAGUGGAUGAAUUACUGAACAGAAUAGCUUAAAUGUCUGGGUACGCAAAAUGCACGGAUCCAGAGAAUCAUUGAAGAAGGUGCACAUGAUUUUGUUGUUCUUCUUUUUAAUAUGGAUUACUAGUUAAAUAGCAGGUGAUCUAGUAGUAUAUAAAUAGCGUUCCCUUGCUAAGAAAGGAACCCAAAAAUAAUGAAACAUUAAUUGUUCAUUAAUUACGUGUGAUUAAGACCCUAUCCGUUCUUAAGAAGAAAAAAAUACCCAAUUAUUUGUCUCGGUCAUCUGAUAAACUUUUUUUAAGAAAUAGUGAGAAGUUAUCAUUUUUUUAGUA